rnacentral:rRNA from 1 species
UACGUAGGGGCAAGCGUUGUCCGGAAUCAUUGGGCGUAAAGAGCGUGUAGGCGGCUCGAUAAGUCUGCUGUGAAAGUCCAGGGCUCAACCCUGGAAGGCCGGUGGAAACUGUCGGGCUAGAGUCCGGAAGAGGCGAGUGGAAUUCCCGGUGUAGCGGUGAAAUGCGCAGAUAUCGGGAGGAACACCAAUGGCGAAGGCGGUUCUCUGGGACGGUACUGACGCUGAGACGCAAAGCGUGGGAGCGAACAGG